CAUCCGCCAGCUCGGUAGCAAUUGCCCGGCGCGCGCUGCUCCUUCCCGGCUCUGCAGAGGCUGGCUGGGGGGGGGGGGGGACCCCGGGCUCCUACAGCCCCUCGCCCGCCAGCGAAGAACCGCCUAAAUUCUGUAUCAAUGCCACAGAAUAAAUGGCAUCCAAAGUGACAGAUGCUAUUGUCUGGUACCAGAAAAAGAUUGGGGCAUACGAUCAGCAAAUAUGGGAAAAAUCUGUUGAACAAAGAGAAAUCAAGUUUAUUAAGUUGGGUUUGAGAAACAAGCCAAAGAAAACUGGGCACGUAAAGCCUGAUCUCAUCGACGUGGACCUUGUAAGAGGAUCAGCCUUUGCAAAAGCCAAGCCAGAAAGUCCUUGGACGUCGUUGACCCGAAAGGGAAUUGUCAGAGUCGUUUUCUUUCCCUUUUUCUUCAACUGGUGGCUACAAGUGACCUCCAAAGUUAUAUUUCUGUGGCUCCUUUUCCUUUAUCUUCUUCAAGUGGCUGCAGUCAUACUCUUCUUUACAAUAGAAAGCCCACACCACAUACCUCUGACGGAAGUCAUCGGCCCAGCAUGGCUCAUGUUGCUUCUGGGAACUGUGCACUGCCAGAUUGUCUCCACAAGGACCCCCAAAUCGCCCGCAAACACCGGAGGGAGAAGAAGGAGGAAAUUAAGGAAAGCCGCCCACUUGGAAGUGCAUCGUGAAGGGGAUGGCUCUAGCACGACCGACAACACGCAGGAAGGAACCGUCCAGAGUUAUGGCACCAGCAGCUCUUACAGCCUUUGCUCCGUCUUCAAGGAACUCUGGCACGCUACUUCCUUUUUAUCAGGAGCAAAGAAAGCAAAGAACUCCAUAGACAAAUCCACGGAAACCGACAAUGGGUAUGUCUCCCUUGAGGGAAAAAGGACAGGGAGAAACAAUGAAGAUGCUUUGCAGUUCCAGGAUCCUGUCUCUGAGGUCAUCCGGGCAGAAGAGCCCGGCUGGAAUAUCGGAACUGCCCGAAGUUCAUACAACACUUCGAAUCAUAAAGACAGUCACCAAACAAUGGCAAAUAUAUCCGACGAAGUUUCUAGUGAGGAGGGGCCAGAAACUGGCUAUCCUUUACGACGGAAUGCUGAACGCGCUUCCAGCGAUGGUGCGUUUCGGAACAAGAAAACUCACCACUAUAAGAAACAUUACCCCAUAGAGGAUGUCCCCAAAUCAGGGACCAGCUGCAGUUCGCGAUGUUCAAGCUCCAGGCAAGAUUCGGAGAGCACCAGGCCCGAAUCGGAGACGGAAGAUGUGCUGUGGGAGGACUUCUUGCACUGCGCCGAGUGCCGCUCGUCCUGCACCAGCGAGACCGAUGCGGAGAAUUCUCAGGUCAACUCCUGCAUGAAGAAGGAGUACAGGGACGACCCCUUUCAUCCGAGUCAUUUGCCCUGGUUCCACAGCUCUAACCCCGGGCUAGAGAAAGUCAGCGCCAUCGUGUGGGAAGGGAACGACUGCAAAAAGGCUGACAUGUCCGUUCUGGAGAUCAGCGGCAUGAUCAUGAACAGAGUGAACAGCUACGUUCCAGGCAUCGGUUACCAGAUUUUUGGAAACGUGGUCUCCUUAAUCCUAGGAUUAACCCCGUUUGUCUUUAGACUGUCACAAGAAAAAGAUCUGGAACAUUUAGCCACGCACACGGCUACCGAGCUCUACGCUAUCGCCUUCGGGUCAAAUGGAAACAUAAUGGUGAUAUCCAUGGUUGUUGUCUGCUUUAUAGUCCGUGUUUCCCUCGUGUGGAUUUUUUUCUUCCUUUUAUGCGUGGCUGAGAGAACGUACAAGCAGAGGCUGCUUUUUGCCAAAUUGUUCGGUCAUUUAACAUCUGCCAGAAGAGCCCGGAAGUCAGAAGUUCCGCACUUCCGGCUGAAAAAAGUGCAGAAUAUUAAAAUGUGGCUUUCUCUCCGCUCCUAUCUGAAGCGAAGAGGACCUCAGCGUUCAGUGGACGUCAUCGUUUCCUCUGCUUUCUUGCUGACUAUUUCUGUUGUAUUUAUCUGCUGCGCGCAGCUGCUUCAUGUCCAUGCAGUCUUCCUGGAUUGCCAUUAUAAUUGGGAACUAGUGAUAUGGUGCGUUUCCUUAACCCUCUUUCUUUUGAGAUUUGUAACCCUGGGGUCCGAAACAAGCAAGAAAUACAGCAAUACAUCAAUCUUGCUUACGGAACAGAUAAACUUGUACUUGAAAAUGGAAAAGAAGCCAAACAAGAAAGAAGAGCUGACUUUGGUAAACAACGUCUUAAAGCUUGCCACAAAGUUAUUAAAGGAACUGGACAAUCCCUUCAGAUUAUACGGCUUAACAAUGAAUCCUCUGCUCUACAAUAUAACACAAGUUGUUAUUCUGUCUGCUGUUUCGGGUGUAAUCAGCGACUUGCUUGGAUUUAACUUAAAGCUUUGGAAGAUCAAAUCCUGACCCCCUCGUCCAAUACCUCGCGUUGAAGAAGACAACUCAGAAGACUAAACGGCCUCUGUGCAGCCCCCCCCCCUGGCGGAUUUCAGUCAUUGCAAUCUCUUGACGGACAUCCUUGGAGGGGGGGAGAGAAAAAACAACAACCCCGAAGUGUUUACAACUGACUGACUAGUGCAAUCUAAAUAUUUAUUUUACCUUUUCGAUUUUUUUUGGGGGGGGGUAAACUUUGUUUUAACUGACAGUGUGUUUGGUUGUGGAUUCUCAACAGGCUUUGGUUAACGAAAAGGUCAAAAUCGGAGGGAAUCACAACCCUGGUUGUGGUUUCACCUCACAUAAGUCAGAUUGGCUUCAUGGAUUUGGUACAGAAGGAAGCCCUUUUAGCUACAGAGUUUUAUUGUUACAGGAAAUCACUUUAUCGAAUAAGUAUUACAAAGUUAUUUAGAAGGUUUUUAUAUACCGCCUUUGGGAAGAGAGUCUUGAGCCCACCAGCAUAUUGUCGUUUAUAGUUGAAAAUGAUACCUACUGUUAACGACAACGCAUUAUGCCAGGGAGCUAAUAGAUAUGAGUAAAAAAAAAUUUUUUUUUAAAAGAAUAAAUGCAAGAUCCAGUAGCUCUCUUACUCAAGUGAUUCCAGGAUCCACAGGGAACUGUUGUUUAAACAGGACUGAAUCUCAAGGAGGUAUUACCGAGCAAGAUAACAAGUGCUCUUUUCUCGAUGUUUUUUAGCCGAGCAAUAAUUGUAAACUGUUACUACGUUGUAAGAUAUUUUGAUAAAAAAAAAAAUUAGCUGUAGUAUUUAUUUUAAACGUGGGGCUGUUUAUCCAGCUCUUUGCCGCUCAGUAUGUGCACUUUUGUGGUUGUUUUAAUAACGAUCUUUAUAUAUACUAAACUUGCAUAUACUACGGUGCUCUGUGGUGCAAUAAUAUAGCUUUUGCCAGCGGGCAUAAAAAAAAGGUUUAUGCUCAGAAUGAAUAUUUUCCCCACAGUACACUAUAGUGUAGGCAAACUUGUACCACGCAGAGACUUUAAAGUGAACUUAAUAAGGUAUAUGUUUUAAAUUAUAUAAUGGAACGCCAGUUUUUCGAUCCUGUUCCUAUCCUGGCUGAUAAGCAAUUGCGGAUUAUUGCAGGGAAGGUCUUUCCUGACACACACACACACACACACACACACAACACACACAAGAUCCCCCCAAAAUUCUUGAAUUCGUGAAAAAAAAAUAUUCCCAAAUUCCCGAUUUGCCUCUUCACUCUGGAGGAAGUUAUUGUAUGCUGAACUUCCCAGAAUAGUUGAGCAUAUUUAAAAAAAACAGGCAGCCUAAUUGGCAAUUUAAAAUUUCCAUUUAUGAUCUGAAAGGACCAAGAGAAACAGAUUCUCUUCUUUGUUUUCAAAUAACACGCGCAAUAAGCUUACUGGCUAAAUUUAUUUCUGGUUCCAGGUAGGGUCAUUUAACUGGGUUUCUCUAAUUUUCUAAAGCUAUGUAUAGGUUUAUAUGUGUAGACAGUAUUAAGUCAGUUUUGCCUUGAGUAAUAAUAUGAGUAACUAGUGGUUAGUGAUGCAGUAAACAGGGGAGGGGUGAUGUCUAUAAUUGAGUUACCUUGAUGUAAUAUGCACAGUUCUGAUCUAUGGAGGGCAGACCAAAUGUUAGGCGUGCAAGCAAAGACUCUGGGCUUCUCCCAUUCCAUUGAGCAGUCAACACAGCAUAUCACAAAAGUUGCCUGUGACAGGUUGUCACUCCGUUAGGUGAGCGGGAUAGCCCAAAGGCUGUGGGUAUUUGCUGGUGGGCACCCUGGGCCUUAGGUGAAGUUUGUGGCCUUUGCAUAAAAGUCUUAUCAGAGUUGGGCAGCUUAACAAAUUAGAAUCAAUAAAAUGUUAAAUGGUUGCCUACCCUUGGGAUAGAGCGAUCACUAUUUGGAGAAAAAGGAUCGCUUGAUUUUUUUUUAAAAAAAAAAAUCGGCUGAGAACAAAGUCUUUAUGAAAAUCGGCUUACGUUAUCAAAUUGUAAUCAAGUGGGUAAACAUAAACCAUUGUAUUAUGUUGAAUACCCUUGGAAGAGCCUGCAUUUCUAAGCUGACCCCUUAGUUUGAAAACAUAGUUAUUUUAAAUGUAAGCAAGAGAAAAUAAUGUAGCUGAACAGAAAGAAAAUGUAGACAGUCACUUCCUCUGCAGAAUUAUUACGAUUGCUCUGGUGUGGUAUAAGGCAUUUAUAUAUAUAUAAAGUAACACAAACAUUUUGUAUUUUAUUCGUUGCUGUACUAAUGACCAAAGUAUCCUCUGUUGUGUUAUUGUUUGUUCACCCUUUCUCCCAAAAGAAUAUAUUAUUAGAGCUUUAACAACAUGCAUUUUAUCAUGUCAAAACUUUGACCACGUGACCUGUUCUUCUUCUUCAUUUGUGUGGUCUGAUCUUCAGGUUAUGUUUAGGAAUUAAGUCUGUUUUAUAGAUAAUUUUUUUUUCCAAAAUACGGUACGGACCUACCUAAAGCUAAAUUUUACAAAGAAUAUAUUUUAAGAAAAAAAAAACCUAAAGAACAAUAUGAACUGAGGAUGAGUUGUGUAGCGAUCAGAAAUCAGACUCCAUUCUGCCUUACCAUUUUUUUUGUAAAGAAAAAAACAGAACAGAUGUUUUCGUAAGGAAGCAUUGUGUUUUCGUGUUUUGAGAUCUCUAAAUACCGAGUAGGAUCUUAUUGGAUGGCAGCAGUUUUUGAGUUUUGAGCAGAAAUUUGAUCGUAAGCAGACCGUACCUCUGCAACUGGCGGUAUGCUGGAUUGUUGCACUAAUUACGGUUAGCGUUGGCAAACUUGCAGAACUAUCGGGUAGGAAAAGUACCUCACAAAUAAUGACAGGUUUAAAUUGUGCCAUUGGUAAAUCAAGCCUACAAUUGAGAAGCUAAUCUAAGCUUAUCUUACAUCUUUUAUUUGAGAAGAGAGCGGUAAGGAGAAUGCGGCAGAUGUUGUUUAAUUGUUGUUGACUUAUGUUUGUAACCGGCAGCGUGCUCAAGCUUUGGAAUAAAACCAGUGGCUGAUGGUA